UAAAAAUGAAUAAAGGCGUUUGAAUCAGAGCUUUAAGUCUAAGUUUUUAUUUAGCAAAUCAGUUAAUAUUUAAAAAUCAAUUAUUUUUUAUUUGUAAUUAUAAUUGACGAGUCAAUUGAAAUGAGAUUAAUAAAAAGAAUAUUUGUUAAAUUUAUUACUAUACUACUAUUAGUAUUUGUUAGCGUGUGGGUGGGGUGCAUGGUGGUUGAAUGUUGAACGUUGAAGGUAUAAUUUUGAAAUAAGAGGAAAAGGAGUAUGACAUUGAAGAAUAAUGAAUAAAUGAAUGAAUUAGUUUAAUUUUGAAGGGGAAGUAGUAGUUGUACUAGUGAGACACUUGAAGGGUUGAAUGGUGUGAGAUGGGGGAG
rnacentral:lncRNA from 1 species